GGGAGUCCGCUGUCCUCACAGCAAGAAACGGAAGGAGGUUCCCUCAGGGCUCUUUUGCCUCCCGGAAGUACAAGGCGCCUCCAUCUUCACAGCAUGAAGGAAGCCGAGGAGAUGCCAUGUGAGGGUGCAGCGAGGAGUUGGGCUGUCUAAAAGCAAAGAAAGAGAUUGCAUCAGACACCGCAUCUGCUGACACCUUGUUCUUGGACUUCCAGCUUCCAAAACCGCGAGAAAUAAAUGUCUGUGUCUAAACCCCAACCCUACCACCUCAACUGCCGUGUGUGGUGUUUUGUGAUGGCAGCCCCAGCUGACUGAGACACCUGGUUAGACCGGAAUAAGCAGGCUGCAAUCGGUAGCAGUCACCAUUGAACAUCCUUGAAGCAAUUCUUCCAAAAUUACCUUGCAUCAAAGACUGCACAAGAACUGCUCUAAGCGGAAGGACUGAUGUCGGCAACCAGGGUUCCACCAGGGGCUGCAGACAGCCCUUGACCUUCAGGUGGGAAGGUGUCACUGAGUUCAGACCCUCUGGCAAUCCCUAGCUAUCAACAUUUUGAUAAGAAAAUAAGUGGAAAGUCUGCAAGAAGAACAUUGUGUGAGAAAUAUCAAGUGAGAGUGGAAGAGUCUGCGGAGGGCCUCCCUGGGGCUCACCUGUGCUUUUGCCUGAGCUUCACCGUGUCAAGCACUUUUUCCCUCUGGAGGAAGCAGCUUUCACCUUGGAAGAAUCUUGACCUUGCCAUUCAAAGUCACCAGACAGGGAAUCUGCCAGUGCCUUGAUCUUAGACUUCCCAGCUUCUGUAACUGUGAGCAAUAAAUGUAUGCUGCUUAUAAACUA
rnacentral:lncRNA from 1 species